UACGUAGGGGGCUAGCGUUGUCCGGAAUCAUUGGGCGUAAAGCGCGUGUAGGCGGCCCGGUAAGUCCGCUGUGAAAGCCGGGGGCUCAACCCUCGGAUGCCGGUGGAUACUGUCGGGCUCGAGUACGGAAGAGGCGAGUGGAAUUCCUGGUGUAGCGGUGAAAUGCGCAGAUAUCAGGAGGAACACCAAUUGCGAAGGCAGCUCGCUGGGACGUAACUGACGCUGAGACGCGAAAGCGUGGGGAGCAAACAGG
rnacentral:rRNA from 1 species